rnacentral:tRNA from 1 species
GCCCAUGUGGCUCAGUGGUAGAGCAUCGGCCCACACACCGAAGGGUCUCGGGUUCAAUUCCCAGUCAGGGGUG